UGUUUGUGUUUGUUUGUUAAACGUGACUUUUUCAUUGUAGCCUAGGCUGUACAAACCAUCACGAAAAAGAAUUAUAGGAAUCGUAUAGUAGGCCAAUUUUGGAACAAUACUAUAGUAAUCUUAUAGAAAUAGGCUACUAUAGGCCUAGUAUUUUGGGACAUACUAUAAAAGUAUUACAGUAUUUUGGAGACUAUUUUAUGACUGUAGGCUACUGUAGGAACAUUAUGGAGGGUAAGGUUAUUAUAGAGAUCAUAAGUAACCUGGGCUAUGACUAAUGACUAUGUCCUAGGACCAGGUAAAGUGAUUGAUAAGCAUGUGAACUAAACAAUACGCUAUACUGAUGCCCAUUUUUUUAGCGUGCGUGCCGCCGUGUUCAUGAACCAGAACUUCGACAAUAAAUCAGUAAGUUGCUACUCAAAAAAGUUUUUCAAGGUUGGCAGGGCUGGACG